rnacentral:rRNA from 1 species
GACGAACGCUGGCGGCGUGCUUAACACAUGCAAGUCGAACGGAAAGGCCCAGCUUUCUGGGUGCGCGAGUGUCGAACGGGGGUGUAACACGCGUGAGAUCUGCGUCUAUCAUCUGGGUAUGACUUCAGAACUGUGUCUAUUAUCGGAGAUAGGAAUUGUUGAUUCUUGGUGGUGGAAAGUUUGGUCGGUUAGGGAUGGGCGCGCGGCCUAUCAGCUUGUUGGUGGGGUAAUGGGUUACCAAGGCGUCGACGGGUAGCCGGCCUGAGAGGGUGGGCGGCCACAUUGGGACUGAGAUACGGCCCAGACUCCUACGGGAGGCAGCAGUGGGGAAUAUUGCACAAUGGGCGGAAGCCUGAUGCAGCGACGCCGCGUGGGGGAUGACGGCCUUCGGGUUGUAAACCUCUUUCGACAGGGACGAAGCGUGAGUGACGGUAACGGGAAAAGAAGCACCGGCUAACUACGUG